UACGUAGGGGGCUAGCGUUGUCCGGAAUCAUUGGGCGUAAAGAGCGUGUAGGCGGCCUGACAAGUCUGCUGUGAAAACUCGAGGCUCAACCUCGAGAUGUCGGCGGAAACUGUCUGGCUAGAGUCCGGAAGAGGAGAGUGGAAUUCCUGGUGUAGCGGUGAAAUGCGCAGAUAUCAGGAAGAACACCUAUGGCGAAGGCAGCUCUCUGGGACGGUACUGACGCUGAGACGCGAAAGCGUGGGGAGCGAACGGG
rnacentral:rRNA from 1 species